rnacentral:lncRNA from 1 species
AGGCAACAAUAUAUUUAUAUACAAUAAUGAGCUCAAAUGAGCAAAAGGAAAAUAGCAUAAACAUAAAAUGUGUGCUCAAGUCAGCAAAGGGAAAAAUAAUAUGAAUAAAUGAGAAAGAAAAGUAAAUUGCAUUGAAGUAAAUUGCAAGAAAUUAAAUGCUCAAAUUAAAAUUAGUAGUUAGUAGUUAUUGUUAGUGUGUCAUAAGAUAAUUUAGCGCUAUGUUAAGCAAUCGUAAGUGGACUAAUG